rnacentral:rRNA from 1 species
UACGGAGGGAGCUAGCGUUAUUCGGAAUUACUGGGCGUAAAGCGCACGUAGGCGGCUUUGUAAGUUAGAGGUGAAAGCCUGGAGCUCAACUCCAGAACUGCCUUUAAGACUGCAUCGCUUGAAUCCAGGAGAGGUGAGUGGAAUUCCGAGUGUAGAGGUGAAAUUCGUAGAUAUUCGGAAGAACACCAGUGGCGAAAGCGACUCACUGGACUGGUAUUGACGCUGAGGUGCGAAAGCGUGGGGAGCAAACAGG